rnacentral:rRNA from 1 species
GAUGAACGCUGGCGGCGUGCUUAACACAUGCAAGUCGAACGGGAAACUUUUCAUUGAAGCUUCGGCAGAUUUGGUCUGUUUCUAGUGGCGGACGGGUGAGUAACGCGUGGGUAACCUGCCUUAUACAGGGGGAUAACAACCAGAAAUGGUUGCUAAUACCGCAUAAGCGCACAGGACCGCAUGGUCCGGUGUGAAAAACUCCGGUGGUAUAAGAUGGACCCGCGUUGGAUUAGCUAGUUGGCAGGGUAACAGCCUACCAAGGCGACGAUCCAUAGCCGGCCUGAGAGGGUGAACGGCCACAUUGGGACUGAGACACGGCCCAGACUCCUACGGGAGGCAGCAGUGGGGAAUAUUGCACAAUGGGGGAAACCCUGAUGCAGCGACGCCGCGUGAAGGAAGAAGUAUCUCGGUAUGUAAACUUCUAUCAGCAGGGAAGAUAGUGACGGUACCUGACUAAGAAGCCCCGGCUAACUACGUG